rnacentral:rRNA from 1 species
AACGCUAGCUACAGGCUUAACACAUGCAAGUCGAGGGGAAACGAUAUUGGAAGCUUGCUUCUGAUAGGCGUCGACCGGCGCACGGGUGAGUAACGCGUAUCCAACCUGCCCAUCACUUGGGGAUAACCUUGCGAAAGUAAGACUAAUACCCAAUGAUAUCUCUAGAAGACAUCUGAAGGAGAUUAAAGAUUUAUCGGUGAUGGAUGGGGAUGCGUCUGAUUAGCUUGUUGGCGGGGUAACGGCCCACCAAGGCGACGAUCAGUAGGGGUUCUGAGAGGAAGGUCCCCCACAUUGGAACUGAGACACGGUCCAAACUCCUACGGGAGGCAGCAGUGAGGAAUAUUGGUCAAUGGACGAGAGUCUGAACCAGCCAAGUAGCGUGCAGGAUGACGGCCCUAUGGGUUGUAAACUGCUUUUAUAAGGGAAUAAAGUGGGGCUCGUGAGCUCCUUUGCAUGUACCUUAUGAAUAAGGACCGGCUAAUUCCGUGCCAGCAGCCGCGGUAAUACGGAAGGUCCGGGCGUUAUCCGGAUUUAUUGGGUUUAAAGGGAGCGUAGGCCGCAGGUUAAGCGUGUUGUGAAAUGUAGGGGCUCAACCUCUGCACUGCAGCGCGAACUGGCUUGCUUGAGUACGCACAACGUGGGCGGAAUUCGUGGUGUAGCGGUGAAAUGCUUAGAUAUCACGAAGAACUCCGAUUG